CUGACUUCCGUGUAUUGAUGAACGAAAUUAAAAAGAUUACAGGAGAAAAGAUUCAUGCAGAGGACAUAAAAGAAACUGUGGAAAACAUGGGGAUAGAAAUGACCGAUAAGGAAAACAAAAAACUGCUCAAAACUCUACCUGUCUGUGCUGACAAAACAGUGUUUAAGAAAGAAUUACUAUCUGGUGUGAAGUGCUUCAAAGG